rnacentral:tRNA from 1 species
GGCUCUUUAGUAUAAUGGUUAUUAUACCUGUUUUGUAAUCAGUAGAUAUAAGUUCGAUUCUUAUAAGAGCCU